AGAUGCCCGUCUUUGGAAGAGGCAACAGAGUGUGAAGGUCAAGAUGUUACUCUGGAGCCCAACAGCCCAGAAUUAAUAUUAGGUCCAGAUCCAGUUGAUGAAGCUGGCUUGGGAAAGUUACUUCAACUUUCAACUCCUUCAUCUCUGCUGCCAUUCUCAUCAGGUCACAGAGAGGAUGAAAUAAAUAAAUGUAAUGUUCAACACAUAGUAAGUAAUCUAGAAUAUUAACUAUAUUUACAUUACAUUUCAAAAUUCAUUAGCUUCC
rnacentral:lncRNA from 1 species